rnacentral:rRNA from 1 species
UACGUAGGGUGCAAGCGUUAAUCGGAAUUACUGGGCGUAAAGCGUGCGCAGGCGGUUAUGUAAGACAGUUGUGAAAUCCCCGGGCUCAACCUGGGACCUGCAUUUGUGACUGCAUCGCUAGAGUACGGUAGAGGGGGAUGGAAUUCCGCGUGUAGCAGUGAAAUGCGUAGAUAUGCGGAGGAACACCGAUGGCGAAGGCAAUCCCCUGGACCUGUACUGACGCUCAUGCACGAAAGCGUGGGGAGCAAACAGG